ACUUAAAUUGAAGAGUUUGAUCAUGGCUCAGAUUGAACGCUGGCGGCAGGCCUAACACAUGCAAGUCGAGCGGUAGCACAGAGAGCUUGCUCUCGGGUGACGAGCGGC
rnacentral:rRNA from 1 species